CUCAAAGGUGUAGAUGGGUUGUAGGAGUUAUCCAGACAUAAAGCCUUGUUGUAGCUCCUGGGUAGGUGGCUUAGAGAGUGUAGUAUUCAGGGAGUAGAGCCACCUAGGUGUGGGGAGCUACAGGAAAGUCUCAGCAAGGACAGAACUAAGAACCCUGCAGCAAGAAUUAACCAAACCUUGUUUUACUCCCGCUGUCUGAUUGGAACUGUAAUUGAUCAUGCUGAAAUAGCCUGAGAGAGACUGUUUCCAAAACUUUGGCAGGGACAGGUAGCAGAAGUGCUGGAAAGCUGAUCAAAGCCUGCUCUUACAAACUUCCAGCCCAAUUUUGCACAUAGAAGUCUUGGCUAACUCAGAUAACUUGGAUCACCUGUGUGGAAUGUUCCUGGGGACAAUCACAGCUAGGUGCCACCUAAAGAAGUAAAUUGGCUUCUGAA